AUUGAACGCUGGCGGCAUGCCUUACACAUGCAAGUCGAACGGUAACAGGGUGCUUGCACCGCUGACGAGUGGCGAACGGGUGAGUAAUGCGUCGGAACGUGCCGAGUAGUGGGGGAUAACGCAGCGAAAGUUGUGCUAAUACCGCAUACGUACUGAGGUAGAAAGUGGGGGACCUUCGGGCCUCACGCUAUUCGAGCGGCCGACGUCUGAUUAGCUAGUAGGUGAGGUAAAGGCUCACCUAGGCGACGAUCAGUAGCGGGUCUGAGAGGAUGAUCCGCCACACUGGGACUGAGACACGGCCCAGACUCCUACGGGAGGCAGCAGUGGGGAAUUUUGGACAAUGGGCGAAAGCCUGAUCCAGCCAUGCCGCGUGUCUGAAGAAGGCCUUCGGGUUGUAAAGGACUUUUGUCAGGGAGGAAAUCCCUAGUGCUAAUAACACUGGGGGAUGACAGUACCUGAAGAAUAAGCACCGGCUAACUACGUGCCAGCCGCCGCCGUAAAAC
rnacentral:rRNA from 1 species